CGAACCCAAUCCAAACUCCACUCCACUCUUUCUCUUCUAUCCGUCCGCCUCCGCGAUGGCCACCGCCGCCUCCGCCUCCGCCUUCCUCUUCCACGCCCCGCCGCGCGGCCACCACCACCACCACAAGCCCAAGCCCGCCUCCAGGCCCACCACCACCCUCUGCUCCGCCGCGCCCUCCUCCACGCCGUCCCUCGCCGACCAGCUGGAGCCGCUCUCGCGCACGCUGCUCACGGACAAGCCCACCCCCGCCGCCGACCGCGCGCAGCGCCCCACCCCGGAGCCCACCUGGGUCAACCCCUCCAGGCCGCGCCCCACCGUGCUGUCCCUCCGCCGCCAGCGCCGCCGCCCGGCCGCCUCCCACCCCUCCUCGGCGCCGCUCCAGCCGCUGCUCCGCGACCUGCGCGCGCUCCCGGAGGACGCCGACCUGGCGCCCACCCUCAGCGCCUUCUUCCCGCUCCCGGGCUCCCCGCCCACCUCCUCCGACGCGCUGCUCCUCCUCAACUACCUCCACCCGUCCUGGCGCAAGACGCUCUCCCUCCUCGCCUACCUCCGCGCGCUCCCCGCCGACGCCGGCUUCGCCGUCGACACCAUCCUCUUCAACGUCGCCCUCAAGUCGCUCCGCGCCGCGCGCCGCUGGGACGAGGCGGAGCGGCUGGCGCUCGACAUGCUCGACUCCGGCGUCCCGCUCGACAACAUCACCUACUCCACCCUCAUCACCGCCGCCCGCCGCUGCCGCCAGUUCGCCAAGGCCGUCGAGUGGUUCGAGCGCAUGUACUCGCCCGGCAGCGCCGUGCUCCCCGACGAGGUCACCUACUCCGCCGUCCUCGACGUCUACGCGCAGCUCCGCAUGAAGGAGGAGGUGCUGGCGCUCUUCGACCGCGCCCGCGGCAGCGGCUGGAAGCCCGACCACGUCGCCUUCGCCGUGCUCGCCAAGAUGUUCGGCGAGGCCGGCGACUACGACGGCAUCCAGUUCGUCUUCAAGGAGAUGCGGGAGGUCGGCAUCAAGCCCAACAUCUUCGUCUACAACGCGCUGCUCGAGGCGCUCGGCAAGACCGGCAAGCCCGGGCUCGCCCGCAACCUGUUCGAGGAAAUGACCGCCGAGGGCGUCGAGCCCAACGCGCGCACGCUCACCGCCGUGGCCAAGAUCUACGGCCGGGCGCGCUGGGGACGCGACGCGCUCCAGCUCUGGGACCAGAUGCGCGAGAGGAAGAUCCCCGCCGACAGCAUCCUCUGCAACACGCUGCUCAGCAUGUGCGCCGACGUGGGGCUCGUGGCCGAGGCCGAGCAGCUCUUCGAGGAGAUGAAGGACCCGGACCUCACCGACGUCCCCCAGCCGGACAAGUGGAGCUACACGGCCAUGAUCAACAUCUACGGGAGCAUCAAGGACGCCGACCGCGCGCUCCAGCUGUUUGUGGAAAUGCUCCAGAGCGGCAUAGAGGCCAACAUCAUGAGCUACACCAUCGUGAUCCAAUGCCUCGGCAAGGCGAACAGGAUACGGGACGCCGUGGAGGUGCUCGAGGCGGGGCUGGAGAGGGGCCUCAAGCCCGACGACCGGCUAUGCGGGUGCCUGCUCUCCGUCGUCGCACUAAGCAGCGGCGAGGAGACGGAGCUGGUGCUCGGCUGCCUUGAGAAGUUCAAUGGAAACCUGGUCAAGCUGAUCAGGAUGCUCGGGGAUGACCAGGUGGGCACCGACGAGCUCAAGGAGCAGCUGAGGGCCGUGCUGAACGCCGCGGAGACCGAGGUGCGCCGGCCCUACUGCAACUGCCUUAUCGACAUAUGCCAGAACCAUGGCCUCCCCGCCCGGAGGCCGAGGGAGCUCUUCCGGCUCGCACAGUGCUACGGCCUCUACUCCAAGCUCCACAUCAGGAAAGACGACGAGUGGCUGCUAGACCUGCGGUCCCUCUCAGUCGGCGCUGCCAAGACGGCGUUCGACGACUGGAUGGCGGCCCUCUCAGAGCGCGCCGCGCAGGGCCAGACCCUACCACAGUCCUUCAACGUGUUCACCGGGUCCAGCACCCACAAGUUCGCGCAGGGGCUGGCGAGCGCCUUCGCCGCCCACCUCGAGGAGGCGGCGGCACCGUUCCGUCCCAGCGAGUCCCAGGUCGGCAGCUUCGUCAGCUCCAGGGAUGAGCUAGUGCAGUGGCUGCAGACGAGCAGUUCAUCGUCUCCGGUCGUGGGAUCACCUGGUCUGUUGGCCCUUGGAAAGAUUUAUGGUGCUGCUGCUACUGCUGCCAUGCAGGCUGAUAGAAUGGAAAUGGAAGAGGAGCACUGGUCUUCAGCCUUUGAUUCUGGGAGCACGAUCGCGGGACCAUUGCUGGCCGAACAUUUCCGUGACGGGUUUUCUGCUGGCUGUAUGGGCCUGGCCUCCGCAGCCUCGCUACUCACAAAUGGGCUGGGCCUAGCUCGGUCCGAGUCGCGCGAGUCCACCACAAGUCGCUUCUUCCUCCCACCGGCCACCACAGCCCACACAGACGCGGCAGAGAGAGAGAGAUCGGAGGGGGAUCGCCGGGCAGAGAUCGGCCGGAGAGGGAGGAGGAAGAUGAUACUCGCCGUGCUCUUCGCCAACUCCGAGGGAAACAUCCUCAUCGAGAGGUUCCAUGGCGUCCCGGCGGAGGAGCGGCUGCACUGGCGCUCCUUCCUCGUCAAGCUCGGCGCCGAGAACCUCAAGGGGGCCAAGUCCGAGGAGCUCCUCGUCGCCUCCCACAAGUCGGUCUCCAUUGUGUAUACCAUGAUCGGGGACAUCUGCCUGUACAUUGUCGGCAAGGAUGAAUAUGAUGAGCUUGCUCUGUCGGAGGUGAUCUUCGCUGUUACGUCGGCGGUGAAGGAUGUGUGUGCGAAACCACCCACCGAGCGCCUCUUCCUGGACAAGUACGGGAGGAUCUGCCUGUGCCUGGACGAGAUCGUUUGGCAGGGGUUGCUGGAGAACACGGAGAAGGACAGGGUUCGGAGGCUGAUCAGGCUCAAGCCCCCUCCGAGAGAGAGACCUGCCGGCCGGCCGGAGACGAUGGAUCUGGUGAACGGCGUGCUCAACUGGGCGGCGAUGCCCGCCAUGGUCACCACCCUCCUGCUCCUCUACCCGCCCUACUACCUCUUCAAGCUCUGCUACUCCUUCCUCUCCUACCUCUUCCCCGACGACCUCAAGCGCAAGGUCGUCCUCAUCACCGGCGCCUCCUCCGGCAUCGGCGAGCAACUGGCCUACCAGUACGCCACCAAGGGGGCAUGCCUCGCCCUGGUCGCCAGGAGGGAGUGGAGCCUCCGGCAAGUCGCCGACCGCGCCUUCGAGCUCGGCGCGCCGGAUGUCAUCAUUCUCCCCGGCGACGUCGCAGACCCCGACGACUGCAACAGAUUCGUUCAGGCCGCGGUCGACCACUUCGGCCGAUUGGACCAUCUUGUGUGCAACGCUGGCAUUGCAAGCGUAGGCGCUUUUCAGGAGAUUCCCGAUGUCACUAACUACAGCUCUCAGCUUGAUGUGAACUUCUGGGGCGCAGUUCAGUCCACUUUUGCUGCUCUACCUCAUCUUAAAAGGACCCGAGGGAGGAUCGUGGUCACCGCCUCCGCAACCGGAUGGAACCCCGUUCCGUGCAUGGUUUUCUAUAAUGCUGCCAAUGCCGCACUGAUUAACUUCUUCGAGACGCUGCGGUCGGAGCUUGGCAGUGAAGUUGGCAUCACGAUAGUGACGCCCGGGUGGAUCGAGUCCGAGAUGUCCAAAGGAAAGUUUCUGAAGGAGGACGGCGGCGUGGAGGUUGAUCAAGAAUAUCGAGAUGCUCAAAUCGGCCUCUUCCCAGUGGAGUACGCCAAGAAGUGCGCGAGGGCCAUGGUGCAGGCAGCUCGCCAAGGCGACCGCUACCUCACCGUGCCGUCCUGGUUCGGAACAAUGUACCUGUGGAGGGUGUUUGCGCCGGAGGUCGUCGAGUUCUGCUACCGCCUCCUGUACAUGCACGGCCAUGGUGGCGGCGACCAGACCGAUGCGCCGAGCAAGACGAUGGCCCAGGGUGGCACCCCUCCUCGCUGAGCUCUUCAGACGUCAAGAACGACUAGAAACUUACUAUAGUUCGCAUCCUUUGAUCGACGUGGAUCCUAGCUGUGUUGUGCAUGCAGGCUCGUUUGUUCUCUAAUAAUGGAGCUUUAGGUGUGGAUGCUACUGUUGGUUAGCUAGUUUGUAAAAAAAAACCGAAUAAUUAAGCUGUGUUCUGGGUUUGCGAUAUUAGUGCUCUGUUGUGUGCUUGUAAUAUUAGUUCUGUGUUUGAGA